AGUCAAUGCAAAACACUGAUACUGCUUUAAACACCCUGCACUGGCAGAGAAAACACACUCAGUUCAACAUUAUGGACUAUAGGACAACACUGCUGCUCUUAGCUGUCUGCUGGACAGGUGUUCGUUGUCAAACUCUGACAGAAUCUGAACCAGCAGUGAAAAACCGAGGAGACUCCCACAAAUUGACCUGUACAGCCUCUGGAUUCACAUUCAGCAACUACUGGAUGCACUGGGUCAGACUGGCUCCUGGGAAAGGACUGGAGUGGGUUGCUAUUAUCAGUGGUAGUGGUACUACAUACUACUCUCAGUCAGUCCAAGGCAGGUUUACCAUCUCCAGAGACAACAGCAAACAGCAGCUGUAUCUGCAGAUGAACCGUCUGAAAACAGGGGAUUCUGCUGUUUAUUACUGUGCUCGAGAACCACAGCGACUGAAGCUGGUUAAGCAGCUGUACAAAAACUUCAAGGCCCCUCAAAGUUAACUGAUGGAAGCUUUUAUAUUGACUGUGAGGAACUGUUACUGUAUGGGACACCAAUAGUAUUACACUGAAACACUGAUGCUGAGACAAAGUGAAGAAUAAACCCAAUUUUUUAUUUAUAUACGGUUAAAAUCCCAUCACUGUCUGACCAUGAAAAAUGCAAAUGCAAUCUAUUGUCAAGAAACAUGACAUCCAUUCCAUUCCUGGCAUUUUAAACAAGUGGAUCUUUAGGAUUUUACUCUUUAGGCACAACUUAAACAUAAAAUGUGACUACUCUAUAAAUUAUCAGGACGCGAGGCCUGCUUCAAAUACCUUUCUGAAAAGGACCUGAGAAUAUUGCCAGUAUAUUAUGAAGUUUUAUCCAGAAUUUAUUAAUAAUUAAAAAAAUAAUAAUUUUCCUAAAUGGUUCAAGAAUUUCCCUAAACCUCGUCAUUAAUAAUCUGUGGUCUCAUUGUUUAAUCUAACAUUGAAUUUUUUUAUGUAAUCUGUUCUGUAGGUUUACAGAAAAAACCUAAAAUCAGAGCCACUUAGUAAACAGUUUACAGCCUUACUUUAAAUUUAUUAAGCAUGCAUGUUUGUGUUAAAUGUAAACAGAGCAGUACAUGAAUUACAAAUGAUUACACAGAGCUUUCAACAAUCAUCUUAAAAUUAAGCAAAUUAUUUAGGAUAAAAAGAUGUUUCUUUUGACUUUAUAUAGAACAAAUCCUGUAAUGUAAUAUGUAUUAUUGAAUUUUCCCUAUAUGGUAAAAAGAAAAGUAAUAUUUGUAGAUUGAAACUAUUUGACUGAUAUGGGAGCCAAAAAAUGUGUUUUAUAUCUGUGUUUCUGCUCUGUGGCUGCAUCAGUCAGCAGCUAUCUUUUCUUUUUUUAUAUUCUUUAAAAAUAUUCUCAUGCAGUAUAUCUUUAAUUUCCAGGUGUAAGAUGUGAACAACUGAGCCAGUCAGCCGCUGUGACUGCAGCCUGGCGAACGUCUGACCAUGACCUGUCAGGUCUAUUAUUCUGUCAGUGAUGACUACACACACUGGAUCAGACAGGAACAAGACUGGCGGGGAUCAGUAGAGACACAAGUGUCAAAAGAUUUGUUAAAAAACAAGUUUAAUGCCAACGUAGAGUCCUCCAACAAAGCAAUGACUUUGACAAAACCUGCAGCCUGAAGACACCGCCAUGUGUUACUGUGCUGGAGCACUAUUACACAGUGGUCCAAACUAGCUGUGGAGAUGUAAAAAAAACAUCAGAACCUGAGCAUGUGUUACAUGAAGUCACCACAAAAGGGCCUCAGUUCACUGAUGUUAAAAAGUGGAAACAUUUUGGAAUUUUGAGUUUUAAUAGAUGGCUACUUUUAGAAUUGUUACCACACAUAUUUUUUUAAAACUUAUUUUAUUUAACUCACAUUUUUAUUGAUUUUUGGGAGAUAGCUUCAAUGACAGCUGUAUUACAGACAGAAUACUUAUAAUAAUCUUUAGUCGGCCAGGGUGAAAAAGAACAAACAUGUUGUGUUUCCUGUAUUCACUGGAGGAAGACAGUUACAUUUGAAAAAAAUAUAAGGGGUGCUGCAUUUAACUGUGGGUGAAUAAAAUGCUGGUUUCUAGAGAGUCUGUCCUCAUUAAAUUAUCAUGUUAUACCUACUA